AUACGUAGGGGGCGAGCGUUGUCCGGAAUUAUUGGGCGUAAAGGGCGUGUAGGCGGCUAUGCAAGUCGGCUGUGAAACCCCCCGGCUCAACUGGGGGCUUGCAGUUGAAACUGUGUAGCUUGAGUGCAGGAGAGGAGGGUGGAAUUCCUGGUGUAGCGGUGAAAUGCGUAGAUAUCAGGAGGAGCACUGGUGGCGAAGGCGGCCUUCUGGCCUGUUACUGACGCUGAGGCGCGAAAGCCAGGGGAGCGAACAGGAUUAGAUACCCUGGUAGUCCUGGCUGUAAACGCUGGGUACUAGGUGUAGGUGGUUUAACGCCAUCUGUGCCGUAGUUAACGCAUUAAGUACCCCGCCUGGGGAGUACGAUCGCAAGGUUGAA
rnacentral:rRNA from 1 species